AGGGGCCCCAGCUGGAGUGGCAUUAAGUUCAAACCCCUCUCUCACAAGGGCUGACAGCGGCACACAACCAUGUGGCUCAACCAGCCAGCCAAAGAUCCCGUCACCCCGACCCCCGUUCCUGGGCCCAUCCAGCCCAUAGUAAGGUGUCUCGUGGUAAGGCAUCAUACCAAAGUAGGCAGGGUCUGCAGCUUGGAGGAGCUAAGGGUAGCUGGCAUUCACAAGAAGCUGGGCCAAACCAUUGGCAUCUCUGUGGAGCCAAGAUGACAGAACAAGUCCACUGAGUCCCGCAGGCCAAUGCACGGCACCUAAAGGUGCAUGGGACCAAACUCAUCCUCUCCCCAGGAAGCCCUUGGCCCCCAAGAAGAGAGACAGUUCAGCAGAACUGAAAUUGGCCACCAGAUUGACCAGACCCGUUAUGCCCAUCAGGUAUGUCUACAGGAAGGAGAAAGCCUAAAUCAUCACCGAGGAGGAGAACUUCAAAGCCUUUGCCCCAAAGCCUUUGCUAGUCUCCACAUGGCCUGUGCCAACACCUGGCUCUUCGGCAUAUGGAGAGCUGAUGCAAGCUGCAGAACAGGAUGUUGAAAAGAGAAAA
rnacentral:lncRNA from 1 species